rnacentral:rRNA from 1 species
AGUGAACGCUGGCGGUAGGCCUAACACAUGCAAGUCGAACGGCAGCACAGGAGAGCUUGCUCUCUGGGUGGCGAGUGGCGGACGGGUGAGGAAUACAUCGGAAUCUACUCUGUCGUGGGGGAUAACGUAGGGAAACUUACGCUAAUACCGCAUACGACCUACGGGUGAAAGCAGGGGACCUUCGGGCCUUGCGCGAUUGAAUGAGCCGAUGUCGGAUUAGCUAGUUGGCGGGUAAAGGCCCACCAAGGCGACGAUCCGUAGCCGGUCUGAGAGGAUGAUCAGCCACACUGGAACUGAGACACGGUCCAGACUCCUACGGGAGGCAGCAGUGGGGAAUAUUGGACAAUGGGCGCAAGCCUGAUCCAGCCAUACCGCGUGGGUGAAGAAGGCCUUCGGGUUGUAAAGCCCUUUUGUUGGGAAAGAAAUCCAGCUGGCUAAUACCCGGUUGGGAUGACGGUACCCAAAGAAUAAGCACCGGCUAACUUCGCGCCAGCCGCCGCCGUAA